CUUUAUCGGAGAGUUUGAUCCUGGCUCAGGACGAACGCUGGCGGCGUGCCUAAUACAUGCAAGUCGAGCGGACAGAUGGGAGCUUGCUCCCUGAUGUUAGCGGCGGACGGGUGAGUAACACGUGGGUAACCUGCCUGUAAGACUGGGAUAACUCCGGGAAACCGGGGCUAAUACCGGAUGGUUGUUUGAACCGCAUGGUUCAAACAUAAAAGGUGGCUUUGGCUACCACUUACAGAUGGACCCGCGGCGCAUUAGCUA
rnacentral:rRNA from 1 species